rnacentral:lncRNA from 1 species
UGGGAGGCCGAACGAGAAGGACGAAGCAAAAAAACUAUCUGAUAAACUGCCUGACCUUCUCAAAUCAUGCCACAUUCUUUUCCAUUGGUGCGCUUCUCUCUCGUAGCUGACCUACUUAUUUCUUCUCUCAUCAGAUCUUGGAGACGAUGAAUAAGCCCUGGGGCGGCAAAAAGAAAUGCUUGAGGAGGACACUUACCGGACCUUGGUAGAGUAGAGCAGUAACUCUUAUAUGUACAUAGAGUAUGGACAGCUUAUGACGAUCCUUCUCAGGUCUCAUUCAACGAGUGAUACACUCUCAUGUACAGAAGCAAAAGAGUCCAUGAUGUAUAUUGUGGUGCUACUCCUAUUUAUUGCGUAUGACUAUUUCUUGCUUCUCUGCUCUCUUCAUCUUGUUGUGCAUCUCAACUGCAGUUUAUACUGCUACUUUUGUUAGAGUUUAGGUGUAGUAUUGGCAGCCUUUUGGAUCUUGGUUGAGUAGAAUAUAGUAUUUGACAUGAACAAAAUGAUAAUUAUAUAAUGUUCUGUAAUAAUAUGUUUAUGUU